rnacentral:rRNA from 1 species
CCUACGGGAGGCAGCAGUGAGGAAUAUUGGUCAAUGGCCGCAGGGCUGAACCAGCCAAGUCGCGUGAGGGAUGACGGUCCUAUGGAUUGUAAACCUCUUUUGUCGGGGAGCAAAAGACGCCACGCGUGUCGUUCCGAGAGUACCCGAAGAAAAAGCAUCGGCUAACUCCGUGCCAGCAGCCGCGGUAAUACGGAGGAUGCGAGCGUUAUCCGGAUUUAUUGGGUUUAAAGGGUGCGCAGGCGGAAGAUUAAGUCAGCGGUAAAAUUGAGAGGCUCAACCUCGUCGAGCCGUUGAAACUGGUUGUCUUGAGUGAGUGAGAAGUACGCGGAAUGCGUGGUGUAGCGGUGAAAUGCAUAGAUAUCACGCAGAACUCCGAUUGCGAAGGCAGCAUACCGGCGCUCAACUGACGCUCAUGCACGAAAGUGUGGGUAUCGAACAGGAUUAGAUACCCCGGUAGUC